CGGGGGGGGCGAGCGUUGUUCGGAAUCACUGGGCGUAAAGGGCGCGUAGGCGGCCCGCACAAGUCUGCGGUGAAAACCCCCGGCUUAACCGGGGGCCGGCCGUGGAAACUGUCGGGCUGGAGGCCGGGAGAGGGCAGCGGAAUUCCCGGUGUAGCGGUGAAAUGCGUAGAGAUCGGGAGGAACACCGGCGGCGAAGGCGGCUGCCUGGACCGGCCCUGACGCUGAGGCGCGAAAGCUAGGGGAGCAAACAGGAUUAGAUACCCUGGUAGUCCUAGCCCUAAACGAUGGAUACUGGCUGUGGGGGGUAGCCAACCCCCCCGUGGCGAAGCUAACGCAUUAAGUAUCCCGCCUGGGGAGUACGGUCGCAAGUCUG
rnacentral:rRNA from 1 species